rnacentral:lncRNA from 1 species
UUUCAAGAUUUUUUUUUUCAAUAAAAAGGUGGGGGGAAAUGGAAUCACUUUGCCAACUAUUGUUCUAAGAGUUGACAUCAGUUACCAUUUCUAAUGCAUUGUUGUGAUUUUGUAGUGUCAUUCAUAACUGGUAUUGACAUUUUAGAAAACACCAAAGUGAUUUAAAAUAUAUGUGGGGAAAAAAACUUCUCACUCUAGUAACAAUGUUUUAAUCAUGUUGUUUGUUAAAUAUUUAAAAGUUAUUGUUCAAUUUUUGCUAGACUAUCUUAAAUCAUGAUAGUGUUGGGAAGGGGGUAUCAAAAUAUAAAAUUGUUAGUUUGUGUAUAUAAACAAUGCACAUUAAAACAAUUGAAUUGCUUCCAGCAUACAACAAACUACCUUAAAAUUAUGUUCAAAAUCUAUUAAAUAUAUUUUCAUGGCUAAUGUCGAGUAUAUGUUUUCAUCAAUUACAUUGUUAUUGUAUUAAUCGCGGUUAAACUUGGCAUCUCUUGGCAGGAUCCUAUUUAAUUUCUGUUGCCAUCAAAAUAUAUUUAUAUGCAUGAGUUUUGCUAUAAACCUUUAUUUUCUGCUAUAAAGUUAUAUAUUAUGACAACCAUAAAUGCAAUUACAAAUUGGGUAAGAACAAGCUGAAUAAAAGUUGUUCCCAUGACUAAUAUUAGUCUUCAUGCUUUUAGCAUAUUUUUUAAGACAGUAACACUCAUCCCAUCAAAUUAUUACAUUACAUUUAGUAUUUUUCUGAGUUACAUUGACAAGAACUUAAAUUAUAGCCUGUUAUUAAUAUUGAUUUCCAACGACUGAACAGUACAACAGAUCAAUAAAAAAGUUUAUACACUGCUUUAACUAAUUUUUGUUAUACUCAUGUGGCUUAGUGUAGUUAGUCACUAAAACAGAGUUCAAGUGAGCUUGGCAAUGGUGUUGAGUAACAAGAAAGAAUUUUGCAUUAAUGAUUUCUUUUUAUUUUCCUCAUUUAAACAACCAGCAUUACUGCCAAACACCAACCGUGGUCCAUAUUUGUAACAGGUUUUUAACAUGACAUAGUUAGCAAGUUUGAUUGAAGAGAUUUUUAGGUCCUGGGCCUAUAAGAUUUUAGUAUGAUCUUUUUUCAUGUUUCUAAUGCUUGAGGUGUUACUGCUUAACUUGGGAAAAAAAAAAACAAAAAACAGUGUUCCUGCCAUUUGUAAGUUUUCCUAUAAUAUUCCUUUUAUUAACUUUAAAACUGGACUUAUCGGGUUCAAAUAGGCAGUAUCCCUUUUAAGUGACCUUUGCAACCCAAGUGUUACUUGCUUAUUUGAUGCUCUCUUGUAUUUUAAAUCUCAUUUAAAUCUUUGUCUGUGACCAACAAAGCUUAAGAUUUUGUCUUCAUUUAAAACUCUGAAUCUAUUCCAUUGAUCAUGUUAGACGUUCAAAUGUUUAAUGGUAUAGUCUGACCUAGUGAAACAAAAUGGAUGUUGUUACUUUUUUUAAAGAAUAGAAUGAAAUAACUAUUUCACUUGCCCAAAAUUUUAAAUAUUUUUUCAUCUAAACUUGUAUUGUUUCCCAUAGCAGAAUGUCAAUAUUCACAGUACAUUUCUGUAAAGAGCAAACCAAUAUAAUGUUUUGAGUGUUGAAAAAAAUUCCAGAUUUUUGAAGAAUUAGACAACUCUUCAUCUACCUUAUUUCUAGUUCACACAGUUAUCUCAAAUUCCACUGAAACUAAUGGGAUACUGUCUUGUGUAGAUGCCAGUUGAGUUUAUAAUGUGACCUAGUAAAGCUGUCUUUUUUGUUGUGUUGUAUGAGUGUCGGAUCAUGCUUUUAGGAAUACUUUUAUUAAAAUGGUGUGCAUUCAUGCAAAAGGCCAACUGGCUUUUGUGAACAAUAGAUCUUUUCUCCCCUUUAUUUUGUUCUCUUGACACUUUUGUGAAAAUUACCUAGCCUGAUAAAAACAUUUUGUAAAAAUUUGUAUAAUACUGUUAUAAAAUAUUUAUAAUCCCAGAAAAUGUUGUGUUAAAUCUUGUGCAAAAACAGUAUAUUCAGAAUAAAAGUUUAUCAUUUAAAGUCA